rnacentral:tRNA from 1 species
GCGCUCGUGGUCUAGUGGUAUGAUCUUAGCCUUCCAAGCUAAUGGCGGGGGUUCAAUUCCCUCCGGGCGCA